UACGGGGGGGGCGAGCGUUGUUCGGAAUUAUUGGGCUUAAAGGGUGCGUAGGCGGCGCGGAAAGUUGGGUGUGAAAUCCCUCGGCUCAACCGAGGAACUGCGCCCAAAACUACCGUGCUCGAGGGAGAUAGAGGUGAGCGGAACUUAGGGUGGAGCGGUGAAAUGCGUUGAUAUCCUAAGGAACACCGGUGGCGAAAGCGGCUCACUGGAUCUCUUCUGACGCUGAGGCACGAAAGCUAGGGUAGCGAACGGG
rnacentral:rRNA from 1 species